rnacentral:rRNA from 1 species
GACGGAGGAUGCAAGCGUUAUCCGGAAUGAUUGGGCGUAAAGCGUCUGCAGGUGGCAGUUCAAGUCUGCUGUCAAAGACCGGGGCUUAACUUCGGAAAGGCAGUGGAAACUGAACAGCUAGAGUAUGGUAGGGGCAGAGGGAAUUCCUGGUGUAGCGGUGAAAUGCGUAGAGAUCCGGAAGAACACCGGUGGCGAAGGCGGCCUGCUGGGCAGUUGCUGACACUGAGGCGCGACAGCGUGGGGAGCAAACAGG